ACUCAGAGCCCCCGCUGCAGUGCCUGGUGCUCAUCUGCGAAGCCAUCCCCCACCCAGGCAGCCUGGAGCCCCCACUGGGCCGAGGGGCCUUCCUCAGCCGCCACAGCCUGGACAUGAAGUUCACCUACUGUGACGACAGGAAUGGUGACUCUGGAUUCAGCCUGCUUGAGUGUCAGUCUUGGCUGUGUAUCCUUAGCCAAAUGACUUCACCUCUCUGUGCCACAAUUUCCUCACCUAUACUGUGGAAUCAUAACAGAACCUGCCUUGUACAGUCGUUCUGAGCAGCUCAGAUUGCAGAAGUGGCUGGCUAUAGUCCCGAUGACCUGAUCGGCUGUUCCGCCUACGAGUACAUCCACGCGCUGGACUCCGAUGCGGUCAGCAAGAGCAUCCACACCUUGCUGAGCAAGGGCCAGGCAGUAACAGGGCAGUAUCGCUUCCUGGCCCGGAGUGGUGGCUACCUGUGGACCCAGACCCAGGCCACAGUGGUGUCAGGGGGACGGGGCCCCCAGUCGGAGAGUAUCGUCUGUGUCCAUUUUUUAAUCAG
rnacentral:lncRNA from 10 species